GAGAGCAGCAGAUUGGAGGCCCCAGGCCGGGGUGCCAGCUCCACCCCCAGGGACGACAGAGCAGACUGCGGGGUGCGGGGGAGGCCCGCUUCUGGCUGCCCGGGGCCAGCGGGGGCCGCGAUGGCAGACAUCUUUAAGCCUCCUGUCUCCUGAAAAUUCUUCCUAUUGAAGUGGAGCCAAUUCCUGUGUUGAAACUGCAGAACAAA